rnacentral:rRNA from 1 species
CAGUAGCCGCGGUAAUACAGAGGGUGCGAGCGUUAAUCGGAUUUACUGGGCGUAAAGCGUGCGUAGGCGGCUUCUUAAGUCGGAUGUGAAAUCCCUGAGCUUAACUUAGGAAUUGCAUUCGAUACUGGGAAGCUAGAGUAUGGGAGAGGAUGGUAGAAUUCCAGGUGUAGCGGUGAAAUGCGUAGAGAUCUGGAGGAAUACCGAUGGCGAAGGCAGCCAUCUGGCCUAAUACUGACGCUGAGGUACGAAAGCAUGGGGAGCAAACAGGAUUAGAGACCCGAGUAGUCCCUGUCUCUUAUAA